GAUGAAGAACGUAGCAAAAUGCGAUAAGUAAUGUGAAUUGCAGAAUUCAGUGAAUCAUCGAAUCUUUGAACGCACAUUGCGCCCGCUGGUAUUCCGGCGGGCAUGCCUGUUCGAGCGUCAUUUCAACCCUCAAGCCCCCGGGUUUGGUGUUGGGGAUCGGCUCUGCGCUUCUGGGCGGUGCCGCCCCCGAAAUACAUUGGCGGUCUCGCUGCAGCCUCCAUUGCGUAGUAGCUAACACCUCGCAACUGGAACGCGGCGCGGCCAUGCCGUAAAACCCCAACUUCUGAAUGUUGACCUCGGAUCAGGUAGGAAUACCCGCUGAACUUAAGCAUAUCAAUAAGCGGAGGA
rnacentral:misc_RNA from 1 species